UACGUAGGGUGCGAGCGUUGUCCGGAAUUAUUGGGCGUAAAGAGCUCGUAGGCGGCUUGUCGCGUCGGUUGUGAAAGCCCGGGGCUUAACUCCGGGUCUGCAGUCGAUACGGGCAGGCUAGAGUGUGGUAGGGGAGAUCGGAAUUCCUGGUGUAGCGGUGAAAUGCGCAGAUAUCAGGAGGAACACCGGUGGCGAAGGCGGAUCUCUGGGCCAUUACUGACGCUAAGGAGCGAAAGCGUGGGGAGCGAACAGG
rnacentral:rRNA from 1 species